AGUGAACGCUGGCGGUAGGCCUAACACAUGCAAGUCGAACGGCAGCACAGGAGAGCUCGCUCUCUGGGUGGAGAGUGGCGGACGGGUGAGGAAUACAUCGGAAUCUACUCUGUCGUGGGGGAUAACGUCGGGAAACUUACGCUAAUACCGCAUACGACCUACGGGCGAACGCAGGGGACCUUCGGGCCUUGCGCGAUUGAAUGAGCCGAUGUCGGAUUAGCUAGUUGGCGGGGUAAAGGCCCACCAAGGCGACGAUCCGUAGCUGGUCUGAGAAGAUGAUCAGCCACACUGGAACUGAGACACGGUCCAGACUCCUACGGGAGGCAGCAGUGGGGAAUAUUGGACAAUGGGCGCAAGCCUGAUCCAGCCAUACCGCGUGGGUGAAGAAGGCCUUCGGGUUGUAAAGCCCUUUUGUUGGGAAAGAAAUCCAGCUGGCUAAUACCCGGUUGGGAUGACGGUACCCAAAGAAUAAGCACCGGCUAACUUCGUGCCAGCCGCCGCGGUAA
rnacentral:rRNA from 1 species